UUGACCUCAAAUCAGGUAGGACUACCCGCUGAACUUAAGCAUAUCAAUAAGCGGAGGAAAAGAAACUAACAAGGAUUCCCCUAGUAACUGCGAGUGAAGCGGGAGAAGCUCAAAUUUGAAAUCUGGCAGUAUUUGAUUGCUGUCCGAGUUGUAAUCUAGAGAAGUGUUACCUGUGCUGGACCGUGUACAAGUCUCCUGGAAUGGGGCAUCAUAGAGGGUGAGAAUCCCGUCUUUGACAUGGACUACCUGUACGCUGUGGUGCGCUCUCAAAGAGUCGAGUUGUUUGGGAAUGCAGCUCAAAAC
rnacentral:rRNA from 1 species